AAACGGAGGGAAUAUAAGAUCGCGGCUACAAGAGUCAAAUGACGGCGCUGCUCACCUUUGCUCUUCGCCGCCAAAUUUCCACCCUCAACAGCUUCAUCGGAAAUGAAAACCUCCGAGAAGCUUGGAAGCUCUUCGAUCAAAGUCCUCACUUGACAAACGUCGUAUCAUGGAAUACCUUUAUUGCUGGUUGCUUCAAACACAGCCACAUCCAACAAGCAGAGUACCUGUUCGACCAAAUGCCUCACAGAGAUGUCAUUUCUUGGAACACCAUGCUCUCCCGGUAGCGCAACGCUAACAACCCGGAGAAAGUAUACAGAUGUUUUCUAGAUAUGAGCAGAUGUGGAGACAUGUGACCAAUGAGCUCACUUUCACGAUGCCUGUGCAGGCUACUCUGCUGUUCUGGUAGGCAAUCAAGUUUUUGCGUGCAUCUUGAAGUCUGGUUUCCCUCUUGAUGUCGUCUUGUUGACCUCCCUUGUUGACAUGUACGCUAAAUGUGGAGACACUGAAGUUGCUUUCUGCAAUUUUUGAGUCAAUCCCUACAAGGAAUUCGAUCAUUGGAGGUUAUGCAAGACAUGGGCUUGCAGAGAGUGCAAUGCAGGAGUUUGAGAGGAUGCUGAAGAGUGGUAUCAGGUCUGGGAGCAUUGCUAGGAGCAUGUGGCUUGCACUCAUGUCUAGAGCUCGGAGAGAUUGCAGCAAAUGGAAUCUACACAUUAGAGCACGACCAUCCUGCAUUAUACUCGGUGCUUUCCAAAAUCUAUGGAU